ACGUUGAAACACCGGUUCUCAUACUACCACCGAAGUUAAGCAACGCCAAGGUAUGGUCAGUACCUAGAUGGGUGACCGCUUGGGAAUACCGGCUGC